rnacentral:rRNA from 1 species
AUUAAACGCUGGCGGCAUGCCUUACACAUGCAAGUCGAACGGCAGCACGGGGGCAACCCUGGUGGCGAGUGGCGGACGGGUGAGUAAUGCAUCGGAACGUGCCCUGAAGUGGGGGAUAACGCAGCGAAAGCUACGCUAAUACCGCAUAUUCUGUGAGCAGGAAAGCAGGGGAUCGCAAGACCUUGCGCUUUGGGAGCGGCCGAUGUCGGAUUAGCUAGUUGGUGGGGUAAAGGCCUACCAAGGCGACGAUCCGUAGCGGGUCUGAGAGGAUGAUCCGCCACACUGGGACUGAGACACGGCCCAGACUCCUACGGGAGGCAGCAGUGGGGAAUUUUGGACAAUGGGCGGAAGCCUGAUCCAGCCAUGCCGCGUGAGUGAAGAAGGCCUCGGUGUAAGAUCUUCGUCGGGAGGAAGUAG